CCUACGGGUGGCAGCAGUAGGGAAUUUUGCUCAAUGGCCGAAAGCCUGACGCAGCAACACCGCGUGAAUGUUAAGCCCUUCGGGGUGUAACGUUCUGUUAAUAGGGACGAAUUUUGACUGUACCUUUAAAAGACGCACCGGCUAACUCCGUGCCCGCAGCCGCGGUAAUACGGGGGGUGCAAGCGUUGUCCGGAGUCAUCGGGUGUAAAGCGGUCGUAUUCGGCAGGGUAAGUCUGAUGUUAAAGCCCGGGGCUCAACUCCGGUACGGCAUUGGAUACUAUCUAGCUAGAAUGUGGUAGAGGUAAAGGGAAUGCCUGGUGUAGCGGUGAAAUGCGUAGAUAUCAGGAGGAACAUCGAUGGCGAAGGCGCUUUACUGGACCAUUAUUGACGCUGAGGAACGAAAGCCAGGGGAGCAAAUGGGAUUAGAUACCCUAGUAGUC
rnacentral:rRNA from 1 species